rnacentral:rRNA from 1 species
UACAGAGGUGCCGAGCGUUAGGCGGAAUCACUGGGCUUAAAGCGUGUGUAGGCGGACGUCUAAGUACCUUGUGAAAUCCCACGGCUCAACCGUGGAACUGCUGGGUAUACUGGUUGUCUUGAGCCAGCUAGGGGCGAGCGGAACAGACGGUGGAGCGGUGAAAUGCGUAGAUAUCGUCUGGAACGCCGAAGGUGAAAACAGCUCGCUGGGGCUGCGCUGACGCUGAGACACGAAAGCCAGGGGAGCGAACAGG